rnacentral:lncRNA from 1 species
AUGACUUUAUACUGUCAGAAGGAGGAGAGGAGGUUUUUAUAUCAUCAGGAGGAGGAGAGGAGGACUUUAUAUCAUCAGGAGGAGGAGAGGAGGACUUUACAUCAUCAGAAGGAGGAGAGGAGGACUUUAUAUCAUCAGGAGGAGAGGAGGACUUUAUAUCAUCAGGAGGAGGAGAGGAGGACUUUAUAUCAUCAGAAGGAGGAGAGGAGGACUUUAUAUCAUCAGGAGGAGGAGAGGAGGACUUUAUAUCAUCAGAAGGAGGAGAGGAGGACUUUAUAUCAUCAGGAGGAGGAGAGGAGGACUUUAUAUCAUCAGGAGGAGGAGAGGAGGACUUUAUAUCAUCAGGAGGAGGAGAGGAUGACUUUAUAUCAUCAGGAGGAGAGGAGGACUUUAUAUCAUCAGGAGGAGGAGAGGAGGACUUUAUAUCAUCAGGAGGAGGAGAGGAGGACUUUAUAUCAUCAGGAGGAGGAGAGGAGGACUUUAUAUCAUCAUGAGGAGGAGAGGAGGACUUUAUAUCAUCAGGAGGAGGAGAGGAGGACUUUAUAUCAUCAGGAGGAGGAGAGGAGGACUUUAUAUCAUCAGGAGGAGGAGAGGAGGACUUUAUAUCAUCAGAAGGAGGAGAGGAGGACUUUAUAUCAUCAGGAGGAGGAGAGGAGGACUUUAUAUCAUCAGGAGGAGGAGAGGAGGACUUCAUAUCAUCAGAAGGAGGAGAGGAGGACUUUAUAUCAUCAGGAGGAGGACAGGAGGACUUUAUAUCAUCAGGAGGAGGAGAGGAGGACUUUAUAUCAUCAGGAGGAGGAGAGGAGGACUUUAUAUCAUCAGGAGGAGGAGAGGAGGACUUUAUAUCAUCAGGAGGAGGAGAGGAGGACUUUAUAUCAUCAGGAGGAGGACAGGAGGACUUUAUAUCAUCAGGAGGAGGAGAGGAGGACUUUAUAUCAUCAGGAGGAGGAGAGGAGGACUUUAAAUAAUAAGGAGGAGGAGAGGAGGACUUUAUAUCAUCAGGAGGAGAGGAGGACUUUAUAUCAUCAGGAGGAGGACAGGAGGACUUUAUGUCAUCAGGAGGAGGAGAGGAGGACUUUAUAUCAUCAGGAGGAGAGGAGGACUUUAUAUCAUCAGGAGGAGAAGAGCAGGACUUUAUAUCAUCAGGAGGAGGAGAGGAGGACUUUAUAUCAUCAGGAGGAGGAGAGGAUGACUUUAUACUGUCAGAAGGAGGAGAGGAGGUUUUUAUAUCAUCAGGAGGAGGAGAGGAGGACUUUAUAUCAUCAGGAGGAGGAGAGGAGGACUUUACAUCAUCAGAAGGAGGAGAGGAGGACUUUAUAUCAUCAGGAGGAGAGGAGGACUUUAUAUCAUCAGGAGGAGGACAGGAGGACUUUAUGUCAUCAGGAGGAGGAGAGGAGGACUUUAUAUCAUCAGGAGGAGAGGAGGACUUUAUAUCAUCAGGAGGAGAAGAGCAGGACUUUAUAUCAUCAGGAGGAGGAGAGGAGGACUUUAUAUCAUCAGGAGGAGGAGAGGAUGACUUUAUACUGUCAGAAGGAGGAGAGGAGGUUUUUAUAUCAUCAGGAGGAGGAGAGGAGGACUUUAUAUCAUCAGGAGGAGGAGAGGAGGACUUUACAUCAUCAGAAGGAGGAGAGGAGGACUUUAUAUCAUCAGGAGGAGAGGAGGACUUUAUAUCAUCAGGAGGAGGAGAGGAGGACUUUAUAUCAUCAGAAGGAGGAGAGGAGGACUUUAUAUCAUCAGGAGGAGGAGAGGAGGACUUUAUAUCAUCAGAAGGAGGAGAGGAGGACUUUAUAUCAUCAGGAGGAGGAGAGGAGGACUUUAUAUCAUCAGGAGGAGAGGAGGACUUUAUAUCAUCAGGAGGAGGAGAGGAGGUUUUUAUAUCAUCAGAAGGAGGAGAGGAGGACUUUAUAUCAUCAGCAGGAGUAG